rnacentral:lncRNA from 1 species
CCCGGCUUUCCCGGCUGUGCUCGGGGCCCGGCCAAGUGUGGGCAGAGCCUCCCGCUGCCGCCGAGCAACCAGCGCCUGGGAGGUGCACCUGGCCAGGCAGCGCCUCUGGAGUGGCCACUUGCAGGCUGCAAUAAUUCAUCACAGGCGGGCUCACAGAUGUACUUAAGAAAGAAGGGAUGAUCUAUUUUGUACAUGCUCCUUAAAGGGAUUCCAUUUUAGCUCCAAUUGUAAUUUUUACCUUUUUCAGGGGAAUUUAUUGACACAGUGCCUAGCUCAGCCCUAGUUUUUUUGCCAUCAUCCUUUUGUCUGCAAGCACACUCACCAGCGCUUAAUUUGUCAUAGCCCUGGAGGUAUCAGAACUAAUGAGCUUUGUUUGAAUAGACUUUUUCCAGUUCAUCUAGCACACUUUGGGGUAAUCACUCAGUUUCUGUUUGCUUCGGAUCCGAGGCAUUGUGGGAAAUAUACGGAAAUAAUGGUUAAAAAAGCAGUAUAAAUUGGUAACAGCCACAUUUUCUGCAAAGCCCUGAAGAUGUUAUUUUUUUAAUUUCCCCACUUAUUGAAGUAUCGAGAGUGCUCUAAGUACGACCAUUACAAUAUAAUAUCAGAGGAGAAUCUGAUAAAAUGCUAUUUUUCAAUUAGCCAGGAGUUUAGACUUUGCCUUCUUUGAGCAGUUCAUAGCUAACAAAUCUUUAAACAAUCUAACCUCUUAAGGUUUGGAAGUGGACAGAUAAUAACCAUGCACACAUAACAGUGUGUCAGCGCCGAGAAUUUAAAAAUCUAUUACAGGGAUUACAUACAGGAAUGCUUUUUAUUGGCCGGACAAUUGCAUUUCCAUUUUUUUUUUUUUUUCCGAGGCAGGGCCUCACAGUUCCUGUGACACCGCCGAGCACGUGGUGGCAGGGCUAGGACGUGAAGCUGGGGAGACGGUACUGCAACGCGGUGCAGGUGGGGCUGGGGCGUCAGCCUCGAACCUCCGCCUUCUAGGGAGUGUUGUCAUCACCUGUGCCGCCCGGAUCGGCCUCCUGGGUCUAGGCUCUCCCGGUGUCCCCGGGGAUCAGGCAAGAUGCGUCAGCUCCCUUUUGCAAACGAGGAAACGGGGAGUCUGAGCUUGGAGGCAACCUGCCCCUCGAUCCCAGGGCAGCAAGUCAAAGGAGCAUGACCUGAACCCAGUGCUUUCCAUGUCGUUGCACAUUCCCCACCCUCCCUGCGUUACACCUGUGGGGUUAUCAUCACCAGCAGCCACAGCCGACUCCCACCAGUGCUCCUGGAACCCGAGACCCCACGCCAGGCUGUGUGGGGUGGUUCUAAGGUGAGGAAGGGGCCCUGAUCUCUGGGGACUGAAUUCCAGUGACC